AUUGAACGCUGGCGGCAGGCCUAACACAUGCAAGUCGAACGAGUGGCGAACGGGUGAGUAAUGUCUGGGACACGGCCUGAUGGAGGGGGAUAACUACUGGACACGGUAGCUAAUACCGCAUACCAUCGGAUGUGCCCAGAUGGGAUUCGCUAGUAGGUGGGGUAACGGCUCACCUAGGCGACGAUCCCUAGCUGGUCUGAGAGGAUGACCAGCCAAACUGGAACUGAGACACGGUCCAGACUCCUACGGGAGGCAGCAGUGGGGAAUAUUGCACAAUGGGCGCAAGCCUGAUGCAGCCAUGCCGCGUGUAUGAAGAAGGCCUUCGGGUUGUAAAGUACUUUCAGCGGGGAGGCGUUACCGGCAGAAGAAGCACCGGCUAACUCCGUGCCAGCCGCCGCGGUAAUUC
rnacentral:rRNA from 1 species